rnacentral:rRNA from 1 species
AAUAAUAGAUUUGAAAUAUUUAUAAAAAAGAUUUAAAGGGAUAAUCAUAGAAUACAAAAGCUAUUAAUAGUAAAGGUUACUAAUAAAAUAAAAAUAUUUUUAAAACCUAAGGGAAACCUAAUAAAAAACUAAGUGAACUGAAACAUCUAAGUAACUUAAGGAAAAAAAAUCAACCGAGAUAUCAUAAGUAUUGGUGAGAGAAAAUGAUAAAUAGUCAUAUUAUAAAAAUUUAUAAUAAAAAAGUAUUAUGUAAAAAAAUAUGUAAGAAAAUAGGACAAACUAGUUCUAAGACUAAAUACUAUUAAUAAGCAAAAUAAGUACCGCAAGGGAAAGUAUGAAAAUGGUUAUUCUAUAAGCAGUUAUAGAUAAAAAAAGUCAAUAACGUACCUUUUGUAUAAUGGGUCAGCAAGUAAUUAAUAUUAGCAAAAUAAAAAAAUUAAAAAUAAAUUGAAUAUAAAAAAAUUGUGAAAAAGUUAAUAUUAAUUGACCCGAAAGCAAAUGAUCUUAUUAUGACAAGACGGAAAAAAUUAACAAAAAAUUAAUAAAACGGUCGAACAGGUUGAUGUUGCAAAAUCAUCUGAUUAGUUGUGAUAAGUGGUGAAAGACAAAUCUGAUUUGCAGAUAGCUGGUUUUCUAUGAAAUAUAUGUAAGUAUAGCCUUUCUAAAUAUAAUUAUUAAUAAUAAUAAUCUAAAUUUCUUAUUAUUAAAGAACGGUACAGCUACAAAUAUCAAUAAUUUUGAAUAACAAAAUUAUUAUUUGGGGAACUAUUGCAGUUUUAUCAAAGAUAUUAGAUCUCGAAAUGUUUAAUUAUAUAGAUAAAGAGUCAGACUAUGCGCGAUAAGGUGAAUAGUCUAAAGGGAAACAGCCCAGAUUAAGAUAUAAGGUUCCUAAUUAGAUAAUAAGUGAAAAAAAUAUUAAAAUAUUAUAAUACAAUCAGUUGAUGGGUUUGACAAUAACCAUUCUUUAAUGAACAUGUAACAAUGCACUGAUUUAUAAAUAUAUAUAAUAUUUCAAAUUAUAAUAAUAAUAUUUAAUUAUUAUUAUUAUAUUAAUAAAUAAUAUACGGAUCUUAAAAAAAAAAUAUAAUUAUCUAACCGAAUAUCUAAAUAUUAUUAUAUAAAAUAAAUAUAAUAAUAUGGUAAUAGAACAUCUAAUGAAAAAUAUUAUUAAUUAAGUUAAUUAAUAAUAAAAAAAAAUAAAAAAAGGUAAUUAGAUAGAGAAUGCUGACAUGAGUAACGAAAAAAAGGUAAAAACCUUUUCACCUAAAGCAUAAGGUUUAACUAUAAAAGUACGGCCCUUAAGUUAAAUAAGAAUAAAAAUAUAUUAACGAUAGGAUAAAUCUAAAUAAAAAAAAGAUCAACUUAAUUAUUAUUAAUAAAAAAAUAAUAAACUAAUAAAGUUCAAGAAAUAAAUUUUAUGAAUACCGUAAUGUAGACCGACUCAGGUAUGCAAGUAGAGAAUAUGAAGGUGAAUUAGAGAAUUAAAGGGAAGGAACUCGGCAAAAAAAGCUCUAACGUUAGUCAAUAAAGAGAAAUAAAAACAAAGUUGUCCAACUGUUUACUAAAAACACCGCACUUUGCAGAAACGAUAAGUUUAAGUAUAAGGUGUGAACUCUGCUCCAUGCUUAAUAUAUAAAUUAAUAAAUUAAAAAGAUGAAUUAAUUAAAGUUAGGUAAAUAGCAGCCUUAUUUUGAGGGUUCUAAGGUAGCGAAAUUCAUUGUCCACUAAUUAUGGUCCUGCAUGAAUGACGUAAUGAUACAACAACUGUCUCCCCUUUAAGCUAAGUGAAAUUGAAAUCGCAGUGAAGAUGCUGUGUACCUAUAGUGUGACGGAAAGACCCUAUGCAGCUUUACUGUAGUUAGAUAGAUCGAAUUAUUAUAUAUCAUAUUCAGAAUAUUAAGUAAUUGUUUAAAUAUUAAUGAGAUACUUAUUAUGAUAUUAUAUAUAAAUUUCAUAUUUAUAUUAUAAUAAUUCUAAUCCUAUAUAAUAUAUUUAAUAGAUAAUUCUUAAAUAUAAUAAUAUAAUUAAUUUUUAUAUUAAUUUAUAUUAUUAUUAGGAGACAAUCUCUAAUUGGUAGUUUUGAUGGGGCGUCAUUUUCAGCAAAAAUAUCUGAAUAAGUCCAUAUACAUAUUAUAAUAUUAUUAAUAAUAAAAAAAAUAUAAAUUAUAUAUAUUAAUUGUAAAUAGGGAUAUAUUUAUAUUUAUAUAAAUAUAUCUUAGUAAUAGAAUAAAAUAUGUACAGUAAAAUUGUCUGGAAAACAAUAAUAAUAAUAUAAAAAAUUUUAUAUUAUAUAAUAAAAUGUAUUAAAUUAAUAUAAUGGUAUAACUGUGCAACAAUUGUAACACAAACAAGUGAAACAAGUACGUAAGUAUGGCAUAAUGAACAAAUAACACUGAUUGUAAAGGUUAUUGAUAACGAAUAAAAGUUACGCUAGGGAUAAACUACCCUAUUGUCCCAUUAUAUUGUGAAAUAUAAUUAUCCUUUUCUUCCUUUAUUUUAUUUUAUUUUAUUUUAUAGGAAGAAAAUGGAGUAAAUUGGGUGAAUUGCAAGAAUAUCCUAAUAUUAUUAUAUAAAUAAAAUAAAUAAUAUUGGACAAUUUGCAGCGAAGUUUAUAACAACCUUCAUUAUUAUUAAUUUCUAUAAAUAAAAAAUAAAUAAAAAUGGUUAUAAAAACGUUCAACGACUAGAUAAUGAGUUAGGUUAACAAUAAUUUAUCCACGAGUGCCCAAUAUCAAAUAAUUAAUAAUUAUUUGAUAAUGACAUAGUCUAAACAAUUUGGUAACAAAUUGAUAAAUACUAAAAUUUAUAUAUAUAUAAUAAAAAAUAUUAAUAUAAAUUUUAUAAAAAUAAAAAUAUUUAUAAAAUAAUAAAUUGAACAGGGUAAUAUAGCGAAAGAGUAGAUAUUGUAAGCUAUGUUUGCCACCUCGAUGUCGACUCUACCUAUCCUCUUGGUUGUAAGUGCUAAGAAGGGUUUGACUGUUCGUCAAUUAAAAGGUAACGUGAGUUGGGUUAAAUACGAUGUAAAUCAGUAUGGUUCCUAUCUACUAUAGGUAAUAUUAUCAACUUAAGACUCAUUCUUAGUACGCAAGGAUCAGAAUGAAUUAACCUAUGGUGUAUCUAUUGAUUAUUAUAUAAUAUAUUUAUAUUUUAUAUAUAUAUAUUAUCUAUAUUAGUUUAUAUUUUAAUAAUAGUCACAGUAGAUAAGCUAAGUUAAUAAAAAAUAAAUAUUGAAUGCAUAUAAAAUAUGAAGUUGCCUUAAGAUGAGAUAAUUAUCUGAUUAUUUUAUACUAAAAU